UUGAACGUCUCUUAAUUAAGGGUCAAAAGAUAGGUCUCUCUUAUGAGACAGUGUCCGUAAUUCGUAGCGUCUCUUUCUUGCUCUCCUAGACGGACCAGAGAAAGAGAGAAGUCAAACCCCUGAAUCUCUCAGAAGACGGAAGAUUUACUCAUGUGGAGCAGCGAUUGUUAUCUUCCUCGUUCUGAUGAUUCACUCCCAGCAUCCCUCAGUCUCAAGCCUAUCACGAUUUCGCCGAUCAAUGAUCCUUCUACGGGAUUUCCGAAUGCUCUGAACGUCGUGUCCAACUCCCCUUUCCUUAGGGCGGCGAGAGGGGUGAGGUCUGCGGGUGUGGCUGGCGCGCUUGGAGGGAUGGUGGCUGGUGGGGUUGUGGCGGGGAAGCAGGUUUUGAAACGGUAUGCUCACAUUUGAAGAAGAAAAGGAGUGAUCUUUAGGGACAAGCAAGCAUAUGGGAAUCAUAAAAAUCACAGCUUUGUGGAGUUUCUACUAGAGUAGGAUUCUGAAUUUCAUGUAGAAUAUAAGUAGCCUGCGAACCUUUUUUUUUGUUAUAUUUAAUGAUAAGUUCUACCGUUUGGUAUUUUCUAAUAUCCAUGACUUCUUUGCUUAUUAUCAUCCUCGUUUGAUUUUCAUUUCAUCGUUGUUUACACUUUAUAGUGUUCACUCGUUUGGUGCUUUUAUAGCUCUUGGCUUUUCUAGCUGUGAGUCCUUUGUUGAGCGUGUGUAAGUCUCACACAUCACACACUAUCCGAAUCCUAGUUUCUAUCAUCUGUGUACCUCGCCGGGCGUUCUCUUCAACCUUUUGGUCUUGUCUCUGGAGUUCUCCAGGUGACUUCAUUCUGCAAGGACUAGACAGCUCUUCCAUAAUGAAAGUGUUUCUUUUCAUGAGACCAAAAAAAUGAAGUGUUUUAUAUAUUGGCUAUGUGCUGCAGGUUAGUUCUAUGUGUUUGAGUUGAUAUCUAUAGUGUCUUCAUCAUGGACAACUGCGAGGACAUCAUUCCCGAGUGGCUAGGCUUUGUCAAGGGUAUUGUUGACUCCGAAGAUCUUCCUCUCAACAUCUCAAGAGAGACGUUGCAGCAGAACAAGAUCCUUAACAAACACUUGGAAAGCUCAUUGUUUGUGUCUAUAUAACAAAGACUCUCGACUUGUAACAAACACUCGUAACAAACACUCUUGCUUUCU